rnacentral:rRNA from 1 species
AAAGUUCCCUUCGGGGAGCGAGUAGAGUGGCGCACGGGUGAGUAACACGUAGGUAAUCUACCUUUGGAUUGGGAAUAACACCGAGAAAUCGGUGCUAAUACCGAAUAAUGCAGCGGCACCUAAUGGUGACAGUUGUUAAAGCGGGGGAUCGCAAGACCUCGCGUCUAAAGAGGAGCCUGCGGCGGAUUAGCUAGUUGGUAAGGUAACGGCUUACCAAGGCGAUGAUCCGUAGCCGGCCUGAGAGGGCGGUCGGCCACACUGACACUGACAUACGGGUCAGACUCCUACGGGAGGCAGCAGUCGGGAAUUUUGGGCAAUGGGCGAAAGCCUGACCCAGCAACGCCGCGUGAAGGAUGAAAUCCCUCGGGAUGUAAACUUCGCAAGAACGGGAAGAAUAAGCCGGUGCUAACACCAUCGGCGAUGACGGUACUGUUUGUAAGCUCCGGCUAACUCCGUGCCAGCAGCCGCGGUAAUACGGGGGGAGCAAGCGUUGUUCGGAUUUACUGGGCGUAAAGGGCGCGUAGGCGGCCACCGCAAGUCGACUGUGAAAUCUCCGGGCUUAACUCGGAAAGGUCAGCCGAUACUGCGGGGCUAGAGUGCAGAAGGGGCAACUGGAAUUCUCCGUGUAGCGGUGAAAUGCGUAGAUAUCGAGAGGAACACCUGCGGCGAAGGCGGGUUGCUGGGCUGACACUGACGCUGAUUGUGCGAAAGCUAGGGGAGCGAACGGGAUUAGAUACCCCGGUAGUCCUAGCCUUAAACGAUGAAUGCUUGGUGUCUGGGGUUUUAUAGUCCCCGGGUGCCGUCGCUAACGCUUUAAGCAUUCCGCCUGGGGAGUACGGUCGCAAGACUG